rnacentral:rRNA from 1 species
UACGAAGGGGGCUAGCGUUGUUCGGAUUUACUGGGCGUAAAGCGCACGUAGGCGGCUUUCUAAGUCAGGGGUGAAAUCCUGGAGCUCAACUCCAGAACUGCCUUUGAUACUGGAGAGCUAGAGUCCGGAAGAGGUGAGUGGAACUGCGAGUGUAGAGGUGAAAUUCGUAGAUAUUCGCAAGAACACCAGUGGCGAAGGCGGCUCACUGGUCCGGUACUGACGCUGAGGUGCGAAAGCGUGGGGAGCAAACAGG